rnacentral:rRNA from 1 species
UACGGGGGGAGCAAGCGUUGUUCGGAUUUACUGGGCGUAAAGGGCGCGUAGGCGGUCAGCACAAGUCAGUUGUGAAAUCUCCGGGCUUAACUCGGAAAGGUCAACUGAUACUGUGCGACUAGAGUGCAGAAGGGGCAACUGGAAUUCUCGGUGUAGCGGUGAAAUGCGUAGAGAUGUGGAGGAACACCGAUGGCGAAGGCAGCCUCCUGGGAUGACACUGACGCUCAUACACGAAAGCGUGGGGAGCAAACAGG